GGUAGUGGCUUAGCGGUAGAGCGCUCGCCUAGCACGUGUGAGACCCUGGGUUCAAUCCUCAGCACCA
rnacentral:tRNA from 1 species